rnacentral:rRNA from 2 species
CUGGCGGCGUGCCUAAUACAUGCAAGUCGAACGAACUCUGGUAUUGAUUGGUGCUUGCAUCAUGAUUUACAUUUGAGUGAGUGGCGAACUGGUGAGUAACACGUGGGAAACCUGCCCAGAAGCGGGGGAUAACACCUGGAAACAGAUGCUAAUACCGCAUAACAACUUGGACCGCAUGGUCCGAGUUUGAAAGAUGGCUUCGGCUAUCACUUUUGGAUGGUCCCGCGGCGUAUUAGCUAGAUGGUGRGGUAACGGCUCACCAUGGCAAUGAUACGUAGCCGACCUGAGAGGGUAAUCGGCCACAUUGGGACUGAGACACGGCCCAAACUCCUACGGGAGGCAGCAGUAGGGAAUCUUCCACAAUGGACGAAAGUCUGAUGGAGCAACGCCGCGUGAGUGAAGAAGGGUUUCGGCUCGUAAAACUCUGUUGUUAAAGAAGAACAUAUCUGAGAGUAACUGUUCAGGUAUUGACGGUAUUUAACCAGAAAGCCACGGCUAACUACGUGCCAGCAGCCGCGGUAAUACGUAGGUGGCAAGCGUUGUCCGGAUUUAUUGGGCGUAAAGCGAGCGCAGGCGGUUUUUUAAGUCUGAUGUGAAAGCCUUCGGCUCAACCGAAGAAGUGCAUCGGAAACUGGGAAACUUGAGUGCAGAAGAGGACAGUGGAACUCCAUGUGUAGCGGUGAAAUGCGUAGAUAUAUGGAAGAACACCAGUGGCGAAGGCGGCUGUCUGGUCUGUAACUGACGCUGAGGCUCGAAAGUAUGGGUAGCAAACAGGAUUAGAUACCCUGGUAGUCCAUACCGUAAACGAUGAAUGCUAAGUGUUGGAGGGUUUCCGCCCUUCAGUGCUGCAGCUAACGCAUUAAGCAUUCCGCCUGGGGAGUACGGCCGCAAGGCUGAAACUCAAAGGAAUUGACGGGGGCCCGCACAAGCGGUGGAGCAUGUGGUUUAAUUCGAAGCUACGCGAAGAACCUUACCAGGUCUUGACAUACUAUGCAAAUCUAAGAGAUUAGACGUUCCCUUCGGGGACAUGGAUACAGGUGGUGCAUGGUUGUCGUCAGCUCGUGUCGUGAGAUGUUGGGUUAAGUCCCGCAACGAGCGCAACCCUUAUUAUCAGUUGCCAGCAUUAAGUUGGGCACUCUGGUGAGACUGCCGGUGACAAACCGGAGGAAGGUGGGGAUGACGUCAAAUCAUCAUGCCCCUUAUGACCUGGGCUACACACGUGCUACAAUGGAUGGUACAACGAGUUGCGAACUCGCGAGAGUAAGCUAAUCUCUUAAAGCCAUUCUCAGUUCGGAUUGUAGGCUGCAACUCGCCUACAUGAAGUCGGAAUCGCUAGUAAUCGCGGAUCAGCAUGCCGCGGUGAAUACGUUCCCGGGCCUUGUACACACCGCCCGUCACACCAUGAGAGUUUGUAACACCCAAAGUCGGUGGGGUAACCUUUUAGGAACCAGCCGCCUAAGGUGGGACAG